UAUGGAAUCUUCGGCAAUGGGGGGAACCCUGACCGAGCAACGCCGCGGGAGUGAAGAAGGUUUUCGGAUCGUAAAGCUCUGUUGUUAAGGAAGAACGAGUGUGAGAAUGGAAAGUUCAUGCUGUGACGGUACUUAACCAGAAAGGGACGGCUAACUACGUGCCAGCAGCCGCGGUAAUACGUAGGUCCCGAGCGUUGUCCGGAGUUAUUGGGCGUAAAGCGAGCGCAGGCGGUUAGAAAAGUCUGAAGUGAAAGGCAGUGGCUCAACCAUUGUAGGCUUUGGAAACUGUUUAACUUGAGUGGAGAAGGGGAGAGUGGAAUUCCAUGUGUAGCGGUGAAAUGCGUAGAUAUAUGGAGGAACACCGGUGGCGAAAGCGGCUCUCUGGUCUGUAACUGACGCUGAGGCUCGAAAGCGUGGGGAGCGAACAGG
rnacentral:rRNA from 1 species